GACGAACGCUGGCGGCGUGCUUAAUACAUGCAAGUCGAGCGCUGAAGGCUGGUACUUGUACCAACUGGAUGAGCCGCGCACGGGUGAGUAACGCGUGGGGAAUCUGCCUUUGAGCGGGGGACAACAUUGGGAAACGAACGCUUAUCCCGCAUAAAAACCUGAUACAUAAGUUUUAUGUUAGAAAGAUGCAAUUGCAUCACGCACUGACGAUCCCUCGUUGUAUUAGCUAGUUGGUGAGGUAAAGGCUCACCAAGGCGGUGAUACAGAGACGACCUGAGCGGGUGGUCGGCCACACUGAGACUGUGACACGGCCCAAACGGCUACGGGAGGCAGCAGUAGGGAAUCUUCGGCCAUCGGCGAAAGUCUGACCGAGCAACGCCGCGUGCGUGUACAGGGUUUUCGGGUCGGGAAUCUCUGUUGGUAGGGAAGAACGUUGGUGAGAGUGGAAAGCACAGCAAGUGACGGUAACUACUCAGAAAGGGACGGCUAACUACGUG
rnacentral:rRNA from 1 species